rnacentral:rRNA from 14 species
GCGAGGCAGAAAUGCGUAGUCGAUGGGAAACGGGUUAAUAUUCCUGUACUUCUUCAUAAUGCGAUGGGGGGACGGAGAAGGCUAGGCCAGCGCGGCGAUGGUUGUCCGCGUUUAAGGCUGUAGGCUGGCUGCUUAGGUAAAUCCGGGCGGCUAAGGUCGAGAGCUGAUGACGAGUGCUACUGAGAGGUAGCGCGAAGUGGUUAAUGCCAUGCUUCCAAGAAAAGCCUCUAAGCUUCAGUCAUACGAGACCGUACCGCAAACCGACACAGGUGGGCGAGAUGAG